rnacentral:other from 1 species
UGCCUCCUGCGGGGCUCGAGUGGCCGAGAUGAUUCCUGAACCAACAUUGUCUAUCCAGGGUGUCCCCAGUCAUCGCCGUGGUGUGCCGCUCCCUUGCGGAGUAGCCUGAAGCGGUGUGUGGAUGCCCACCUGUACAUCAGGUUCAGUGGGGUAGCGGGCUGCACGACCCAGGCGGGAGGUUC